rnacentral:rRNA from 1 species
GUAUAAGCAAUUNUNCAGNGAAACUGCGAAUGGNUCAUUAUAUAAGUUAUCGUUUAUUUGAUAGUACCUUACUACUUGGNNUAACCGUGGUAAUUCUAGAGCUAAUACAUGCUAAAAAUCCCGACUUCNGAAGGGAUGNNUUNAUUAGAUUAAAAACCAAUGCCCUCCGGGGCUCACUGGUGAUUCAUGAUAACUCCUNNAAUCGCAUGGCCUUGCGCCGGCGAUGGGUCAUUCAAAUUUCUUCCCUAUCAACUUUCGAUGUUUGGGUAUNGGNCAAACAUGGNUGCAACGGGUAACGGAGGGNUAGGGCUCGACCCCGGAGAAGGAGCCUGANAAACGGCUACUACAUCCAAGGAAGGCAGCAGGCGCGCAAAUUACCCAANCCCGACACGGGGAGGUAGUGACAAUAAAUACUGAUACAGGGCUCUUUUGGGUCUUGUNAUUGGAAUGAGNACAAUUUAAAUCCCUUACCNAGGAACAAUUGGAGGGCAAGUCUGGUGCCNGCAGCCGCGGUAAUUCCAGCUCCAAUAGCGUAUAUUAAAGUUGUUGUGGUUAAA